AUCGAACGCUGGCGGCAGGCUUAACACAUGCAAGUCGAGCGGGCAUCCUUGUGGUGUCAGCGUCAGACUGGUGAGUAACGCGUGGGAACGUGCCCUUCGGUUCGGAGUAACUCGGGGAAACUUGAGCUAAUACCGGGGACGUUCGAACGCAGAAAGGUUGAUCUGCCGAAGGGUCGGCCCGCGGCUGAUUAGGUAGUUGGUUAGGUUAUGGCUCACCAAGGCGACGAGCAGUAGCUGGUCUGAGAGGAUGAUCAGCCACACUGGGACUGAGACACGGCCCAGACUCCUACGGGAUGCAGCAGUGGGGAAUACAGGCAUAUGGGGGCUACCAUGAUCCAGCCAUGCCGGGUGAGUGAUGACGGCCUUAGGGUUGUAAAGAUCUUUUCUACGGGACGACAAUGACGGUACCGGAGGAAUAAGCCCCGGCUAACUUCGUG
rnacentral:rRNA from 1 species